GACGAACGCUGGCGGCGUGCUUAACACAUGCAAGUCGAACGGAAAGGCCCUGCUUUUGUGGGGUGCUCGAGUGGCGAACGGGUGAGUAACACGUGAGUAACCUGCCCUUGACUUUGGGAUAACUUCAGGAAACUGGGGCUAAUACCGGAUAGGAGCUCCUGCUGCAUGGUGGGGGUUGGAAAGUUUCGGCGGUUGGGGAUGGACUCUCGGCUUAUCAGCUUGUUGGUGGGGUAGUGGCUUACCAAGGCUUUGACUGGUAGCCGGCCUGAGAGGGUGGACGGCCACAUUGGGACUGCGAGACGGCCCAGACUCGUACGGGAGGCAGCAGUGGGGAAUAUUGCACAAUGGGGGGAAGUCUGAUGCAGCAACGCCGCGUGCGGGAUGACGGCCUUCGGGUUGUAAACCGCUUUCGCCUGUGACGAAGCGUGAGUGACGGUAAUGGGUAAAGAAGCACCGGCUAACUACGUG
rnacentral:rRNA from 1 species